CUGGUGGCCAAGGGGGCGCUGCGGCACUGAAUGUGAGCACGAGGGAAGGGGCUGGCUAACCUCCCCCAAGGAGACUGGCGGAGCCCCUUAUCACGCCCAGAGGAUCCCUCCAUGCCCAGGAUCGGCCGGUCGCCCCCCCCUCACCCCAAAGUCAAGCAAGGGUGCACUUUCCAGAGAGAACAACUUUGGCAAUAGGACCAAAGGGGUGCAGGACGCUAGAGACUCAGCUAGGAUGCAGGCACUCUGUGACACCAUCCAGACAAACGCAGGAGCCAGAUGACCUGGAAGGAUAAAGCUAGGAGUGUAUCCAUGCCUCGUCCAUCCACCUUCCAUAGAGUACACCGGACUAGGAUUGCCCCGAGCAAGUCAGCCACGGAAUUUACAGUUGACACAACAGAAGAGGAGCCAGGUGGCAUCUGGCUGCAGCUACCUGUCCCGGAAGUGCCUGGUGGUGGUCAAGUUCCAGGUAGGACACGUUGGCUAUGCUUGUUUCUCCAUCGAACCACCUCCUGCCCUUCUAGUUGUUAGAGAGAGGACUCCUGCCCUUGGUAAGCAUCCAGGAAGUCACACUGUGCUGGUUUCAAUCUCAAAUCCCAGCUCUGCAGCUUGCCAUCUGGGAAGCUUGGGCAAGUGUCAUCAGCCUCCCUGAGCCGGUUUCCCCUCUUCAGUGAAAUGCAAAUGAUUCUUCCCAAACUGAUUUCGUGGCGACACAAGAUUUCCUGGUGCUCAAGAAAGACUCCAGCAGGAGGGAGCUGGCACAGGGCACACACUCAUUUAGCAGCUUCUCUCCAGUCUGCACCUCCUGAGGCCCCCUUGUACCAAGGUGCUUAGUAGUAGGGACGUUAAGAUUUGGAGGCGAGGGCCUCCCUGUUCUCUGCCCAUCCUCUGUCCCUUACAACCUGCUCACUGCUUAGCCUCAUUAGGAUAGAUGGGCAGACUCCCAAUAUCACGGGGCUUCGAGGAGGACCCUCUUUUUUGCAUGGUGUAUUUCUACCUAUGCAUGUGCAAAAAAAGAAAGAUCUGGACGUGGUGGCAUGGGCCUGCAAUUCCAGCAUGUGGUAGGUGGAGGAACCAGAAUUGCUAUAAACUUGAGGCUUCAGAGUAAGACUCUGUUUAACUAUUCUAACUCGUGUGUGUGUGUGUGUGUGUGUGUGUGUGUGUGUGUGUUUUGGGGGGGGGAUCUGGGUGUGGUGGCACAUGUCUGAAAUCCCUUGGGAGAAGCAAACAGGAGGGUUAGAAUAACGAGUUCCAGGCCAGGCUGGGCUACAUGAGACCCUGUCAUAUAAAUAAAUAAAGCUGGGCAGUAACGGUGCACACCUUUAAUCCCAGCACUUGGGAGGCAGAGACAGGCGGAUUUCUGAGUUCCAGGACAGCCAGAGCUAUACAGAGAAAUUCUGUCUCAAAAAACCAAACCCAAAAUAAAAGAGUGUUUGCUUUGGGCUGAAGAGAUAGCUCAGCCAUUAAGAGCACUGACUGCUCUUCUGAAGGUCCUGAGUUCAAAUCCCAGCAACCACAUGAUGGCUCACAACGAUCCAUAACAAGAUCAGAUGCCCUCUCUCUUCUGGUGUGUCUGAAAACAGCUACAGUGUACUCAUAAUAGAUAGAUAGAUAGAUAGAUAGAUAGAUAGAUAGAUAGAUAGAUGUAACAGGCAAGGUGUCACAUGUCUUUAAUUCCAGUGCUCAGAAGACAGAGGCAGGCAGACAGAUCUCUAUGAGGCUGUCAUAGUCUACAGAGUUAUAGGCCACUCAUGGCUACAUAGUGAGACAUGUCUCAAAGCAAGCAGGCAAGCACAUCAACAAACAAAGACCCAGGAUGGCCAGGGAAAGCAAUUGCACAGAACAAAAAUGAUCAAGGAAAUGAACCAGCAUUUGGGGGAUUAAAGACAAUGUACACGCAACAUAAACCUCAGGAGAUGAAGACCUGAGCGGAAUCCCUCAGGAGCCGAUAAGCAGCAAGGGCUGACUGUAAAUCCCGGCUGUGCCUGCCGCUCACCAACCUUCCUGAAGCCUACACACCCCUGAGACAAACCUCUGUCUGCCCGGCCGCCCAUUUUGGAAACCCAAAGAAGCUGGUUAUCUUGCACACAGUUAGUUAUUAACGCAAAUGAAAUAAAUCAGAAUUACGCUCACAGGCUAAAUGGAUGAGACAUCUGUAUUCACAUCCCUGAUAAUCCUGCGUGUGGGCUGGAAUUCCUUUUCAUUUGUAACUUUUGUAUCCAAUACAUAUGCAUGCCACCAGGUGUUGUGCCUUGCAUCUGCUGUACAAAGAUGUGCCCA
rnacentral:lncRNA from 1 species